UACGUAGGGUGCAAGCGUUGUCCGGAAUUAUUGGGCGUAAAGAGCUCGUAGGCGGUUUGUCGCGUCGAAUGUGAAAACCCGGGGCUCAACCCCGGGCCUGCAUUCGAUACGGGCAGACUAGAGUUCGGUAGGGGAGUCUGGAAUUCCUGGUGUAGCGGUGAAAUGCGCAGAUAUCAGGAGGAACACCGGUGGCGAAGGCGGGACUCUGGGCCGAUACUGACGCUGAGGAGCGAAAGCGUGGGGGAGAAACAGG
rnacentral:rRNA from 1 species